AAUUUCUCCCAUCCUUCAGGCUGUGCUAAUGAUGUUGAUGUUACAGGCUGGACUUUGUGGAUAAUCUGGUUGACUUCACUCUCUUUCCUGGUCAUAAAUGUUGUUUGCUUGCUUGUUCUUCUGUUUCAUCUGUUUAUUUACAUUCAACCUCCACCAAACACAGAUUUGGGACAUGAAUGAAUCUGGGAGAA